AGUGAACGCUGGCGGUAGGCCUAACACAUGCAAGUCGAACGGCAGCACAGUAAGAGCUUGCUCUUACGGGUGGCGAGUGGCGGACGGGUGAGGAAUACAUCGGAAUCUACUUUUUCGUGGGGGAUAACGUAGGGAAACUUACGCUAAUACCGCAUACGACCUACGGGUGAAAGCAGGGGAUCUUCGGACCUUGCGCGAUUGAAUGAGCCGAUGUCGGAUUAGCUUGUUGGCGGGGUAAAGGCCCACCAAGGCGACGAUCCGUAGCUGGUCUGAGAGGAUGACCAGCCACACUGGAACUGAGACACGGUCCAGACUCCUACGGGAGGCAGCAGUGGGGAAUAUUGGACAAUGGGCGCAAGCCUGAUCCAGCCAUACCGCGUGGGUGAAGAAGGCCUUCGGGUUGUAAAGCCCUUUUGUUGGGAAAGAAAAGCAGCAGGUUAAUACCCCGCUGUUCUGACGGUACCCAAAGAAUAAGCACCGGCUAACUUCGUG
rnacentral:rRNA from 1 species